rnacentral:rRNA from 1 species
UACGUAGGGGGCGAGCGUUGUCCGGAAUUAUUGGGCGUAAAGAGCGUGUAGGCGGUUCGGUAAGUCUGCCGUGAAAACCUGGGGCUCAACCCCGGGCGUGCGGUGGAUACUGCCGGGCUAGAGUCCGGAAGAGGCGAGUGGAACUCCUGGUGUAGCGGUGGAAGUGCGCAGAGUAUACAGGCAAGAACGACCCCGUGGGCGAAGGCGGGUUCUCUGGGACGGUACGACGACUGGAGAACGCGAAAGCCGUGGGGAGCAAACACGG